GCGGAUGUGGUGGAACGGCAGACACGCUGUCUUGAGGGGGCAGUGCCCAAUGGGUGUGGGGGUUCAAAUCCCCCCGUCCGCA
rnacentral:tRNA from 1 species